CUCAUGAAGAUGUAUGCAGUGUCCCUGCAUCACUUGCAGUUCCCCCGCAUUGUCCGGGAAUGAGGAUGCACUAGUCAUUCUGUGGAUGCAGGUUCCCACAAGUUGGAUGAAGUAUGUUAUGAUGGAGGAUGCACUGCCCAUGAAGGUGGAUGCGGUGAACCUGCAGUGGUUGCAGUGCCCCCUGCAGAUUACCUGAAUGUGGAUGCAGUGUCUCACAAGGCGGAUGCAGUAUGAUAGCCUGGAGGAUGCAGUGCCCAUGAGUGUGUAUGCAAUGAGCCUGCAUUGGUUGCAGGGCCCCCUACACAUUCCCUGAAUCUGGAUGCAGUGUUGCUGCAUUGGUUGCAGGGUGAGCUACAGUGUCCCUGGACGUGGAUGCAGUGCCCAUGCAGUGGAUGCGGUGUCUUACAAUGUGCAUGAAGUAUGUUGUGACAGAGGAUGCAGUGACCAUGAAGGUGGAUGCAGUGAUCCUGCAGUGAUGGCAGUGCGCCUGCAGUGGCACUUCAGCUGGACGCAGUUUCCCUGCAGUGGUUUCAAUGCCCCCUGCAUUGUCCUGGAAUGUGGAUGCAGUGAUCAUGCAGCAGAUGCAGUGUCCCACAAUGAGGAGGCAUUGUGGUGUGUUGUAGUAUGCAGUGCCGAUGAAGGUGAAUGCAGUGAUCCUUCAGUGAUGGCACUGCGCCUGCAGUGCCACUUCAGUUGGAUGCAGUGUCCCUGCAGUGGUUGCAGUGCACACUGCAUUGUCUGAGAAUGUGGAUGCAGUGACCAGGUAUUGGAUUCAGUGUCUUUCAAGGUGUAUGCAGUAUGUUGUGACGGAGGAUGCAGUGCCCAUGAAGUUGGAUGCAGUGGUCUUGCAGUGGUUCCUGUUCACCCUGCUGUGUCCCUGAAUGUGAAUGCUGUGAACAUGCAGUGGAUGCAGUUAUUCUGCAGUGAUUGAGGUGCUCCUGCAUUUCCACAUCAGCUGGCUGCAGUGUCCCUGCAGAGGUUGCAGUGUCCCCAGCAUUGUCCUGGAAUGUGGAUGCAGUGGUCCCACAAUGUGCAUGCAGUAUGUUGUGAUGUACGAUGCAGUGCCCAUGAAGGUGGAUGCAGUGAUCCUACAGUGAUUGCAGUGCCCCCUGCGGUUUACGUGAAUAUCAUGUGUCAGGCACAUGGGAGCCAGUUCUGUGGCACGCCUGCAUCACGUGUGAGCCAUGGCUGAGCUAUGCCUCAACCACGUGUGAGAGCGUCUUCAACCAUAUGUGACCCAGAUUAGUCGUGUGAGAUCCACGCCUGAAUUACACCAGAACCAUCUGUGAGCCAUGCAGAAAACACAUGGGAGACACCCUUGAACCACAUUGGAAGAACCUGUGAAACACACAUGUUCCAUGCUUGAACCACGCAUGAACCACAGAGGUGACAUCUAUGAGACACAGCUGAGCCAUGCGUGACCCACGUGCAGCCAUGACUGAGUAUUUGGGAGCCACGUUUCAGCAACCUGUAGUCCCGUGGGAGCCACCCAUAUACGGCAUGUGACUCCCGCGUGAUCACCUUUCUGUCACACAUGGAUAUUUGGUGAUGAACGCCUGAGUCACAUGUCAGCCAUGCCUGAUACAUGAGUCAUACACACCGGAGUCCUGUUUCACACAUGCUGGAGUCACAUUUCAUCCACGCCUGAACCACCUGCCACCCUUGCGUGCACCAUGCACCAUCCACCCCUCAACCACACGAAGGCCAUGCAUGAACCAUGUGUGAACCACACCUGCGUGACGUGUCAGGUGCACCUGUGUCACCAUUCCACCUCACCUGAGUCAUGUGUCAGCCACGCCUGAACAACGUGUGAACCACGCCUGUGUCAAGGCUCAGCCACGCCAAGUCACGUGCCAGCCAGGCCUGAACCAAGUGCCAGUCACACUUGAAACACAGGUCAGCCUCACUUGAAGCAUGUGUCAGCCCCACUGGCACAACUUGCCUGCCAUGACUGAACCACGUGCCAACCAUGCCACAAACACAUGUGAACCAUGCCUGAGAAACACCACAGCCAUGCAUGAGCCACUGAUGAGCCAUGUCUGAGCCAAGCAUCACAAAAGCCUGAAUCAUGUGUCAGAUACGUGGGAGCCAGUCCUGUGGCACGCCUGCAUCAUGUUUGAGCCAUAUC
ensembl:lncRNA